UACGGAGGGUGCAAGCAUUAAUCGGAUUUAUUGGGCGUAAAGGGCGCGUAGGCGGAUGGAUAAGUCAGAUGUGAAAUCCCGGGGCUCAACCCCGGAACAGCAUUUGAAACUGUUUAUCUAGAGGGUAGGCGGAGAAAACGGAAUUCCACAAGUAGCGGUGAAAUGCGUAGAUAUGUGGAAGAACACCAGUGGCGAAGGCGGUUUUCUAGCUUAUUCCUGGACGCUGAGGCGCGAAAGCAAGGGGAGCAAACAGG
rnacentral:rRNA from 1 species